rnacentral:sRNA from 1 species
CCAUACCAGAUUCUGUGGCCUGCAGGUGACAUGCUGCCUAAGAGAAGCAGGAGGACGGUCAGCAAAAGCAUUGGUCCCACCUGCCCCUUUGCUGGAAGCUGUGAAGUCAGCAAGACUCAGAGGCGCCACUGCCCAGCCUGCAGGUUGCAGAAGUGCUUAGAUGCUGGCAUGAGGAAAGACACCUCCAGCUCAUCUCUUCAUCCAUCACCAGCCCUUGCCCACCCUGGCCCCUGUGAUGCCUCUGGUCACACACUUCGCAGACAUCAACACUUUCAUGGUACUGCAAGUCAUUAAGUUUACUAAGGACCUGCCCGUCUUCCGUUCCCUGCCCAUUGAAGACCAGAUCUCCCUUCUCAAGGGAGCAGCUGUGGAAAUCUGUCACAUCGUACUCAAUACCACUUUCUGUCUCCAAACACAAAACUUUCUCUGCGGGCCUCUUCGCUACACAAUUGAAGACGGAGCCCGUGGUGAGAUGGUGCUAGAGCAGUAGGGGGCAUGUGUCCUCAUGGUACAGUAUGUGGUCAGGUGACCUAGAGGCUCCUAAUCCUAGUAUCUCCCGCAGUGGGGUUCCAGGUAGAGUUUUUGGAGUUGCUCUUUCACUUCCAUGGAACACUACGAAAACUGCAGCUCCAAGAGCCUGAGUAUGUGCUCUUGGCUGCCAUGGCCCUCUUCUCUCCUGGUGAGCAUCCCCCAAAGCCCAGAGCCUUUUGCACCACCUCUGCCCAAACACUCAGCUCCUUGAGUCCAUCCACCCAGGCCUUCUAGCCUAACCGUCAAACCUGCAGACUAGGUCUAUCCCAGCCUCAGUCCCCGGGGCACCAUGCAGGCCCACCCCUGCCACCCACCUUGUCCUUCCCAGCUC